rnacentral:lncRNA from 1 species
CCAAAGCGCAGGCUCGGCCUGCCUUAUCCAGUGGGACGGCAAAGGGUCACUCUAAAAAUUGCUGCAGCCGGGUCUUGUCAGGUGGCUGCUGGUGGCUCCCCACCGGAUUUUCCUUCUCCCUCUCUCUAUCUCCACAGAUCCCUUCCCAAGAGGAGUCUCCUGCUAAAACUUCAUCAUCUCAAGUUGACCUGCCACUUCACCCAAGGAGGCCUCAAGUUGCACUCUCUCUUCCUGGAGAUUUCUUAGUCCUUCUAGACUGCAUAUGAAUUUAUCAGGUUCAAGCCUUCCUGGCAUCCAACCUCCUGUAUGUAUUGACCGAAUAUUACCUGCCCAACUGUCUCCCUCAUGACCUCAGCCAUCUCUGAAUGCAUGUGACAGGCUGAGUCACACCUCCUUGCUUCAACUUGAAACAUUUCCUCUACUUCUAAUAACCUUCUCCCUCCUAUACAUGCUGCUAUUUAAGACCCUUCAGUUACCAAGACCCAACAAGAUUCAUGUUAUCUGCAAAACCUCCCAUUCUAACACCACCCCACCACAAUAGUCCUUUUUAUUUGAAUCCUUAAAUCCAGACACACAAUCUGUUCCAUGUACUCUUGUUUUGCUCACCUAACCUAUAACCAAAUGCCCCAAGUUUUCUGAACUUUCGGGGUUAGCCCUACCUAUCAAAAUAAAAAUAAUCUGUUUCUCAGGCUGUGUAUUUGUAUGUAUUUCUUUUCUCUCCCUGGUGUUUUUUAAAAAUCUCAUAGAAAUAUUUACACAUUCCAGAAAUCUUC